UACGGGGGGGCAAGCGUUGUUCGGAAUUACUGGGCGUAAAGGCUCGUAGGCGGCCAACUAAGUCGGAUGUGAAAUCCCCAAGCUUAACUUGGGAACUGCAUCCGAUACUGGAUGGCUUGAAUCCGGGAGAGGGAUGCAGAAUUCCAGGUGUAGCGGUGAAAUGCGUAGAUAUCUGGAGGAACACCGGUGGCGAAGGCGGCAUCCUGGACCGGUAUUGACGCUGAGGCGCGAAAGCCAGGGGAGCAAACGGG
rnacentral:rRNA from 1 species